rnacentral:lncRNA from 9 species
GCAUCUUAAAAAAUAAAAUAAAUAAGGAAACAAACCCCUUUAGAGUUGCUAGCGGGGAGGGCAGUAGGUACUGAGCAAAAAUAAAGUUGCCACAUUCUUGGCUUCUUGAAUUUCUUGGAGCUCAUCUUCAGAGUCACAUUAUCCUUGUUAGAGAUUAUAGGGGGGAUAGCCUUCAGGAACAAAGACUUCGGAUCAAGGUAAAAAUAUGCAAUAAGCAGUAUGCCCCUAAGCGGUCUGAAGAAUACAUCCUUGAAGAGGGAAAUCCUGGCCAAAAAAAGUGUCCUCUGAGUCUGGACUCAUUAUCCAUGGUUUUGAAUAUUCAGAGUUCACAGGUCCAACCUGUGCUUGGCAAUAAUUCUGUUUUCCUGAGCCCCAUGGCGUGCCCAGCUGCUUGUAAAAGUAACGAAGUACUGGCAAAGGUGAUACAUGGUGACAACAUUUUUUAUUCCCUGUCAGGCUUGAAAAGGAACUAACUGCUCAAUUUGGGUUCCCCCAGAAGCGGACCAGGAGAUGAAGGUUUGAUAGAAGCAGCUUAUUUGGAGAUCCCAGGAAGACUGCUGGGAGAGUGGGGAAGUAGCACAGAGAAGAGAAGAAAGGUACUUUUUGUUUCAUCCUCCAGAAUAUCUGGAAGACUGAGAGGGAACUUGCCCCAGAGUUGCCCCUCUGUUGGGGCGAGAGAACCGGGGUACUGAGGCAUUGAAUUUCUAUCCUGUCCUGCCUACGAGUGUUAACUCCUCAAAAGGCUCUAGAUAGGCCAGGCCUGUUCCUGUGGCAAGAGAAAGCCUUAGGGCGGAGUGUCUCAGAUGCUUGUGGGAGGAAGCAGGUGGCAUGUGUGGAGACAAGAUUGGUGAUGCCAAGGGGAUUUGGGCAGACCACCAACAGCAUCUGCUAUAGUACCUAAAUCCAGACAAGAAUACUCGUGUUGUUAUAGGGAUUCCCCUUCUAGCCUUAACUCUUAGUCUCAUUUAUUUUACAUUUAUCUUCCAGAACAUAUUUUCUUAGCUAUUGAAGGUUCUGCUGACUUUCCUCAUCUCUGUGCAACCUCACUUCAUGUUACUCAUUAGUUCUUCUAAGAUCAAGCCAAUCUAUACACAAAAUGUUGCCUUUCAUCCUUUGCUAAGCUGUCCCUUCCACUUGGAAUACAUUCAUCAGUCAUUUACAUUAAUCCAUGUCCUUCCUAGCACACAGAAUUUUUUUUUUUUAAUGGAG